rnacentral:rRNA from 1 species
UACGAAGGGGGCUAGCGUUGCUCGGAAUUACUGGGCGUAAAGGGCGCGUAGGCGGCCUGUUAAGUCGAACGUGAAAUCCCCGGGCUCAACCCGGGAACUGCGUCCGAUACUGGCAGGCUUGAAUCCGGGAGAGGGAUGCGGAAUUCCAGGUGUAGCGGUGAAAUGCGUAGAUAUCAGGAGGAACACCUGCGGUGUAGACGGCUUUCUGGACCAUUGCUGACGCUGAGACACGAAAGCGUGGGUAGCAAACAGG